rnacentral:rRNA from 1 species
GACAGAGGUGCCGAGCGUUAGGCGGAAUCACUGGGCUUAAAGCGUGUGUAGGCGGAGGCGUAAGUGUCUUGUGAAAUCCCCCGGCUCAACCGGGGAACCGCUGGGCAUACUGCGUCUCUUGGGCCAAUCAGGGGCAGCUGGAACAAACGGUGGAGCGGUGAAAUGCGUAGAUAUCGUUUGGAACGCCAACGGCGAAAGCAGGCUGCUGGGAUUGUGCCGACGCUGAGACACGAAAGCCAGGGGAGCGAACGGG